AUUAAAGAUGAACAAAACGAUAGGGACAACUGAUGUGUUAGCAUUUGAUGUCAUUCAGGGAGAGUUUUUUAGUAGAUGCUUCUCAUAUCUGAAU
rnacentral:snoRNA from 1 species